rnacentral:rRNA from 1 species
GGCUUAAUUCGACAGUAAGCGAGAACUUACCAGGCUUGACAAGAUAGUGAAAGCUAUAGGAAACUAUACGCCCACCCACAAGGACACUUAUCCCAGGUGCUGCAUGGGUUGUCGUCAGCAGGUGGCUUGAGUUGCUCCCUUAAAUGGGGUAACCUGCGCAACCCUUGUCCUAUGUUUCAUGUGUCAUAGGAGACUGCCUGGGACAACCAGGAGGAAGGUGAGGAUGACGCCAAAUCAGCAUGGCCCUUUGACGCCCUGGGCUGCACACGUGGUACAAUGGGACCGACAAUGGGAAGCGAAAGAGCAAUCUGGAGCAAAUCCUAUCAAACGGCCCCCAAUACGGAUUGAGGUCUGCAACCCGACCUCAUGAAGCCGGAAUCGCUAGUAACCGCAGAUCAGCCACGCUGCGGUGAAUAUGUCCCUGGGUCUU